UACGUAGGGCGCAAGCGUUAUCCGGAAUUAUUGGGCGUAAAGAGCUCGUAGGCGGUUUGUCGCGUCUGCCGUGAAAGUCCGGGGCUCAACUCCGGAUCUGCGGUGGGUACGGGCAGACUAGAGUGCUGUAGGGGAGACUGGAAUUCCUGGUGUAGCGGUGAAAUGCGCAGAUAUCGGGAGGAACACCGGUGGCGAAGGCGGCGACCUGGGUAGAUACUGACGCUGAGGUGCGAAAGCGUGGGGAGCAAACAGG
rnacentral:rRNA from 1 species